AAUCAUACAUUCACGACGUAUGAAGGAGAAACGAAAAACAAUAAAAAAGAAAAAACGAAUGAAAAUUUACGACAACAGUGUAUGCUGUAUUCUAGCAUAUUUCUACCAUUCGUUUAUCCGCUGCUUUGAAUGUGUUCUAUGCAUCUGAUAUUUCAUCGGGAA
rnacentral:ribozyme from 18 species